rnacentral:misc_RNA from 1 species
GUGAAGAUUCAAGGGCCAGCCAUACAGACGUACAAUAAGUGUGUCUCUGGCGGCUCGCAUCCACUAUACAUCCAUAAACCCGUGUGCACUGUUCUAAGGAGUAAGAAAGAAGAAGAGAGAGUGCAUGUGCUUUGCAUAUAACUCUCUCACUCUCUUUCUCUCUCCGGUUAAUUACAAACUCGUAUGGAUUUGUAUGAACGUGAGAUAUAUCGUUGGACCGUCACUGGCCAACAAAUAUAACA